rnacentral:rRNA from 1 species
UGGGCGUUAAGUUGCAGGGUAUAGACCCGAAACCCGGUGAUCUAGCCAUGGGCAGGUUGAAGGUUGGGUAACACUAACUGGAGGACCGAACCGACUAAUGUUGAAAAAUUAGCGGAUGACCUGUGGCUGGGGGUGAAAGGCCAAUCAAACCGGGAGAUAGCUGGUUCUCCCCGAAAGCUAUUUAGGUAGCGCCUCGUGAACUCAUCUCCGGGGGUAGAGCACUGUUUCGGCUAGGGGGCCAUCCCGGCUUACCAACCCGAUGCAAACUGCGAAUACCGGAGAAUGUUAUCACGGGAGACACACGGCGGGUGCUAACGUCCGUCGUGAAGAGGGAAACAACCCAGACCGCCAGCUAAGGUCCCAAAGUCAUGGUUAAGUGGGAAACGAUGUGGGAAGGCCCAGACAGCCAGGAUGUUGGCUUAGAAGCAGCCAUCAUUUAAAGAAAGCGUAAUAGCUCACUGGUCGAGUCGGCCUGCGCGGAAGAUGUAACGGGGCUAAACCAU